AGAUUAGGUAGUAACAACCAUUUGAGUCUGGGAUUUCUGAAUGGGGAAACCCACGUGCAUAAGCACGUAUCCUUACCUGAAUACAUAGGGUAAGGAGGCGAACCGGGGGAACUGAAACAUCUAAGUACCCCGAGGAAAAGAAAUCAACCGAGAUUCCGAAAGUAGCGGCGAGCGAAAUUGGACUAGCCCUUAAGCUUUACACGCGUUAGACGAACGGUCUGGAAAGUCCGACGAUACAGGGUGAUAGUCCCGUAGUUGACGACGUGUGUUCAGUGAAAUCGAGUAGGGCGGGACACGUGAUAUCCUGUCUGAAUAUGGGGGGACCAUCCUCCAAGGCUAAAUACUACUGACUGACCGAUAGUGAACCAGUACCGUGAGGGAAAGGCGAAAAGAACCCCUGUGAGGGGAGUGAAAUAGAACCUGAAACCGUGUACGUACAAGCAGUAGGAGCAGGCUUUGUCCUGUGACUGCGUACCUUUUGUAUAAUGGGUCAGCGACUUAUAUUCAGUGGCAAGGUUAACCAUCUAGGGGAGCCGUAGGGAAACCGAGUCUUAACUGGGCGUUCAGUCUCUGGAUAUAGACCCGAAACCAGGUGAUCUAGCCAUGGGCAGGUUGAAGGUUGAGUAACAUCAACUGGAGGACCGAACCGACUAAUGUUGAAAAAUUAGCGGAUGACUUGUGGCUAGGGGUGAAAGGCCAAUCAAACCUGGAGAUAGCUGGUUCUCCCCGAAAGCUAUUUAGGUAGCGCCUCGGACGAAUACUACUGGGGGUAGAGCACUGUUAAGGCUAGGGGGUCAUCCCGACUUACCAACCCUUUGCAAACUCCGAAUACCAGUAAGUACUAUCCGGGAGACACACGGCGGGUGCUAACGUCCGUCGUGGAGAGGGAAACAACCCAGACCGCCAGCUAAGGUCCCAAAUUACUACUAAGUGGGAAACGAUGUGGGAAGGCUCAGACAGCCAGGAUGUUGGCUUAGAAGCAGCCAUCAUUUAAAGAAAGCGUAAUAGCUCACUGGUCGAGUCGGCCUGCGCGGAAGAUGUAACGGGGCUAAGUAGUAAUUUGGGACCUUAGCUGGCGGUCUGGGUUGUUUCCCUCUCCACGACGGACGUUAGCACCCGCCGUGUGUCUCCCGGAUAGUACUUACUGGUAUUCGGAGUUUGCAAAGGGUUGGUAAGUCGGGAUGACCCCCUAGCCUUAACAGUGCUCUACCCCCAGUAGUAUUCGUCCGAGGCGCUACCUA
rnacentral:rRNA from 1 species